rnacentral:rRNA from 1 species
AGGACGAACGCUGGCGGCGUGCCUAACACAUGCAAGUCAAGCGAGGAGAUCCUUCGGGAUGAUCCUAGCGGCGGACGGGUGAGUAACACGUGGGCAACCUGCCUCAUAGAGAGGAAUAGCCUUCCGAAAGGGAGAUUAAUACCUCAUAACAUUGCAGUUUCGCAUGGAACAGCAAUUAAAGGAGUAAUCCGCUAUGAGAUGGGCCCGCGGCGCAUUAGCUAGUUGGUGAGGUAACGGCUCACCAAGGCGACGAUGCGUAGCCGACCUGAGAGGGUGAUCGGCCACAUUGGGACUGAGACUCGGCCCAGACUCCUACGGGAGGCAGCAGUGGGGAAUAUUGCACAAUGGGGGAAACCCUGAUGCAGCAACGCCGCGUGAGUGAUGACGGCCUUCGGGUUGUAAAGCUCUGUCUUCAGGGACGAUAAUGACGGUACCUGAGGAGGAAGCCACGGCUAACUACGUGCCAGCCGCCGC